rnacentral:misc_RNA from 1 species
GAGAGAAAAUCAGCGGCAGCGAAUGGCGGACUUUGCUAUGAAUCUAAACACAGGCACACACACACACACAGAAUCUUAUAGAACCGUACUGAGAAGGGAAAAAUGGGGGCGAUUUAUCUGCACAGGGGGAAGCUCCACAGAGUCCCUGACAUACCUUGUCGAUGCGAAAAAAGAAGUAAACUUCUCUUUGUGUGGGAAAGAGGGAGUAUCUUCAAUGAUUUCUUGUAUUUAAGUUAUUCUUUGUAAUUAUUAACGUCCAUAGUAAAUGACUUUUCUCAAAUCAUGUAUUUGUGAUUAUGCAUCGUCGGACGUGCAAAGUUGAUGUUGUAAAUGAUAAGGAUAAAAGGAAAAAGGAAGUUGAGGAUAAGUUACUGGUUUUGAACUCGAAGAAGUAUAAUCUUGUACAAGUGCUGAAGCAGAUCUUGAAUGUGGAGGAGGAAUUAAAGAGACGAAAUAGCAUGCAAGGAAUUGGAAUUCGCCCAUCUGCCCCUUUUCAAGUGGAUGUUGCUAAUGAUUCUUUGUCAAUAAGUAGGCGUAAUACUCCUAGGAUGGGCUCAGAGGGAAAUCCUGGUGGUGAUAUGGAAAAGGGAGAAACUGAAGAUGUUUCAAAUCCUAGUAAUCAUUCCCAUCAAAUACAUCAAAUGAGCAGUACAUCUCCAUCAUCAGAAUCUCCACUAAGAAAGCCUCCUUACGUUCAGCACAAUGUGGUUCCAUACCCCUCUCGACCUAGUUUAGGGACCACCAGUAGUCCAUUGCGCUUUGCUUCAACAGGACAUCAAGCCCCUCCUGCAAAUUUACCAAUGGUAUCUGUAUCAGGAACAAAUUACAUUGCAUCUUCUCCUUCCCCUGCAGCAUCUGGUGGCACGUCAGCAUUUGGAGAUGCUCAGCAGCAAAGUCCAUGGAAUUAGAAGCUAUGAACUAACAUGAUUUGAUAUUUUGGCUCUGUUUCUGCAACUUUAGUCUUGUUGAUCAGGCAUACUGAGCUUACAUAGGUGUAUCCUCCUUUGCUUAGUGUUUUUACCCAUGCCAAUUGAAUGUUGGCACCUUUUAAAAUGUUCCAUUUAUGGGUCUUUCCAUUGUUUAGAAGGUCUCAAGUUGAAGAUGACCAGAAUCCAAGCAGUACCAGAAAUUAUUUUUUUUUAAAUCAUUGUAAAUGUAGCUUUGUCCAUUCAUUGCUAGUUAUGUGCUGUUCUUUGCAAUAUCUUAAAUUGAAAACGUUGAAUAUCCUCACAAAUUUAAGCUGUAGAAUUGUUGAAAAAAACCGAAUCACAGGAACUGAAUCAAGCAUUGUAGCGUUGAGAUUGUAUGUAGUUAAAAGACAUCUGAAGAAUACGAUUAUUUUGUUGGAGA